rnacentral:rRNA from 1 species
UACGUAGGUGGCAAGCGUUGUCCGGAUUUACUGGGCGUAAAGAGCGCACAGGCGGUCGUAUAAGUCGAAUGUGAAAGCCCCCGGCUCAACUGGGGAGGGUCAUUCGAUACUGUUCGACUCGAAGGCAGGAGAGGGAAGUGGAAUUCCGGGUGUAGUGGUGAAAUGCGUAGAUAUCCGGAGGAACACCAGUGGCGAAGGCGACUUUCUGGCCUGUUCUUGACGCUGAGGCGCGAAAGCCAGGGGAGCAAACGGG